UUUUGGGUGUUAAGCAGGAGGGAUCAGAAAAGUUACUGCAGGGAUAACUGGCUUGUG
rnacentral:rRNA from 1 species